AGAGUUUGAUCAUGGCUCAGGACGAACGCUGGCGGCGUGCCUAAUACAUGCAAGUCGAACGCUUCUUUUUCCACCGGAGCUUGCUCCACCGGAAAAAGAGGAGUGGCGAACGGGUGAGUAACACGUGGGUAACCUGCCCAUCAGAAGGGGAUAACACUUGGAAACAGGUGCUAAUACCGUAUAACAAUCGAAACCGCAUGGUUUUGAUUUGAAAGGCGCUUUCGGGUGUCGCUGAUGGAUGGACCCGCGGUGCAUUAGCUAGUUGGUGAGGUAACGGCUCACCAAGGCGACGAUGCAUAGCCGACCUGAGAGGGUGAUCGGCCACAUUGGGACUGAGACACGGCCCAAACUCCUACGGGAGGCAGCAGUAGGGAAUCUUCGGCAAUGGACGAAAGUCUGACCGAGCAACGCCGCGUGAGUGAAGAAGGUUUUCGGAUCGUAAAACUAAUGUUGUUAGAGAAGAACAAGGAUGAGAGUAACUGUUCAUCCCUUGACGGUAUCUAACCAGAAAGCCACGGCUAACUACGUGCCAGCAGCCGCGGUAAUACGUAGGUGGCAAGCGUUGUCCGGAUUUAUUGGGCGUAAAGCGAGCGCAGGCGGUUUCUUAAGUCUGAUGUGAAAGCCCCCGGCUCAACCGGGGAGGGUCAUUGGAAACUGGGAGACUUGAGUGCAGAAGAGGAGAGUGGAAUUCCAUGUGUAGCGGUGAAAUGCGUAGAUAUAUGGAGGAACACCAGUGGCGAAGGCGGCUCUCUGGUCUGUAACUGACGCUGAGGCUCGAAAGCGUGGGGAGCAAACAGGAUUAGAUACCCUGGUAGUCCACGCCGUAAACGAUGAGUGCUAAGUGUUGGAGGGUUUCCGCCCUUCAGUGCUGCAGCUAACGCAUUAAGCACUCCGCCUGGGGAGUACGACCGCAAGGUUGAAACUCAAAGGAAUUGACGGGGGCCCGCACAAGCGGUGGAGCAUGUGGUUUAAUUCGAAGCAACGCGAAGAACCUUACCAGGUCUUGACAUCCUUUGACCACUCUAGAGAUAGAGCUUCCCCUUCGGGGGCAAAGUGACAGGUGGUGCAUGGUUGUCGUCAGCUCGUGUCGUGAGAUGUUGGGUUAAGUCCCGCAACGAGCGCAACCCUUAUUGUUAGUUGCCAUCAUUUAGUUGGGCACUCUAGCAAGACUGCCGGUGACAAACCGGAGGAAGGUGGGGAUGACGUCAAAUCAUCAUGCCCCUUAUGACCUGGGCUACACACGUGCUACAAUGGGAAGUACAACGAGUCGCAAAGUCGCGAGGCUAAGCUAAUCUCUUAAAGCUUCUCUCAGUUCGGAUUGUAGGCUGCAACUCGCCUACAUGAAGCCGGAAUCGCUAGUAAUCGCGGAUCAGCACGCCGCGGUGAAUACGUUCCCGGGCCUUGUACACACCGCCCGUCACACCACGAGAGUUUGUAACACCCGAAGUCGGUGAGGUAACCUUUUGGAGCCAGCCGCCUAAGGUGGGAUAGAUGAUUGGGGUGAAGUCGUAACAAGGUAGCCGUA
rnacentral:rRNA from 1 species